ACUUCCUAAGCCGGAACGAAAAGUUGUGUAGUAGCAAUACUGCAAAACUUUUGGCUUUGUGGUUGUGAUGUUGUGUUUGCAAGUUGUCUGGAAAUUCCAGACUUU
rnacentral:misc_RNA from 1 species